GGAGAGAUGGCUCAAUGGUUAAGAGCACUGACUCCUUCUCAGGAGGACUUGGGUUCAAUCCCCAGCUUCCACA
rnacentral:tRNA from 1 species